AAUGGAGUCGAUUUAGCCAUGCUAGUUGCACGAGUUCAGACUCGUAGCAGAUAGCUCAGUAACACGUGGCCAAACUACCCUAUGGAUCCGAAUAACCUCGGGAAACUGAGGCUAAUUCGGAAUACGAUUCACCACCUGGAGUGGUGUGAAUCCGAAACGCUCCGGCGCCAUAGGAUGUGGCUGCGGCCGAUUAGGUAGACGGUGGGGUAACGGCCCACCGUGCCCAUAAUCGGUACGGGUUGUGAGAGCAAGAGCCCGGAGACGGUAUCUGAGACAAGAUACCGGGCCCUACGGGGCGCAGCAGGCGCGAAACCUUUACACUGCACGAAAGUGCGAUAAGGGGACUCCAAGUGCGAGGGCAUAUAGUCCUCGCUUUUUGCGACCGUAAGGUGGUCGCGGAAUAAGUGCUGGGCAAGACCGGUGCCAGCCGCCGCGGUAAUACCGGCAGCACGAGUGAUGACCGCUAUUAUUGGGCCUAAAGCGUCCGUAGCUGGCCAUGCAAGUCCAUCGGGAAAUCCGCGCGCUUAACGCGCGGGCGUCCGGUGGAAACUGCAUGGCUUGGGACCGGAAGACCAGAGGGGUACGUCCGGGGUAGGAGUGAAAUCCCGUAAUCCUGGACGGACCACCGGUGGCGAAAGCGCCUCUGGAAGACGGAUCCGACGGUGAGGGACGAAAGCUCGGGUCACGAACCGGAUUAGAU
rnacentral:rRNA from 1 species